CAGAGUUCAUGCCCUAUGGGUAGACCUCCCACCCUUUGUUGUUAUUACCUUUGUUGCUUUGGCGGGACGCACACCUGUGCCUCGGGCUCUCGAGCCUGAGCGUGCCCGCCAGAGAAAACCCAAACCCUUUUUGUUAGUGUUGUCUGAGUACUAUAACAAUAGUUA
rnacentral:misc_RNA from 1 species